UGUAGAAUAUCAAACUAUUAACUGCAUUAUGAUUAACUAUAUUGCAAUAUAUUUGUGUGAUUAAUUUCCUCAAACAAUUCCAUGGUAACGUCUCUGCCACCAGUCGGUGAGUGUAACUUGCUGACGGUCCCUAAAACAGGUAGCAGCCAGAACGUAAAUGACGUUGUUGCACAGACAUCGAUGGCGCCAACAUGUGUUUGUGAUUUUUCGCGAUACGGUGUCCUAAACCGUCCUCAACAUACUAAGCCCUAUGGAAGGGGAGAUUUGGAGGUACCUGGUCAGGUCUUGGUCAGCCUUCAAAUCCCAGAUGUGGAGACUGCAGGGAUACCUCACAGAGAAGACACUAAAGAGUCAUCUCUCAUUCAUCGAGUGGACUCAUUGGUUUGCGAAUGACCACAAAGAUGCUCCCAUAGGCAGAUUGCUGCAUGGCAUUCACCACUUAUUCAAAUUGUAGAGGUUGAAGCAGUCUUCCUUGUGGUCACUUGCCAUAACACUGUCAUGUGUUUUAUGAAAACACCAUCAGUAACAUUUAAAUUGAGUUGAUGCAGACGGCUCUUUUUUUUGUCUGAUUUCUUCAGUGUUCAGUGCUUGUUUGUGAGAUAUGCAUUGUUUGAAAGAUAAGCCUUUGAUUUUGUUUAAUUUUAAUAUGCCUUUCAUCAACAGUGGAUUGGGGUUUUAUAACAACAAUUAAAGUGCUUAACUACUGGUGAACGAUGUUGCAGAACAUAUAUGGUUUGUGUUGAUUGCAUGGAGAAGGGAAUAACCAGUUACAACUUGUAUGGUAAGAGCUGGUAAUACCAUGGAAACAAACGAGGCUUCCUUUUACAGUACAGUUUCAGCUAACUUACUGGGUAAAUUGUCGUGUUUUACUUGGUAACGUCGCAGAACGUACAUGGUACAAGUUUGUGUUGACUGCAUGGAAAAGGGAAUAAUGUAUUACAAAUUAUAUGGUAAGAACCUGGUAAUACCAUGGAAACAAACAAGGCUUCCUUUUACAGUACAGUUUCAGCUUAAUUACUGGGUAAAUUGUCGUGUUUUACUUGGUAACGUCGCAGAACGUACAUGGUACAAAUUUGUGUUGACUGCAAGGAAAAGGGAAUAAUAUAUUACAAAUUAUAUGGUAAGAACCUGGUAAUACCAUGGAAACAAACAAGGCUUCCUUUUACAGUACAGUUUCAGCUUAAUUACUGGUAAAUUGUCGUGUUUUACUUGGUAACGUCGCAGAACGUACAUGGUACAAGUUUGUGUUGACUGCAUGUAAAAGGGAAUAAUGUAUUACAAAUUAUAUGGUAAGAACAUGGUCAUACCAUGGAAACAAACAAGGCUUCCUUUUACAGUACAGUUUCAGCUUAAUUACUGGGUAAAUUGUCGUGUUUUACUUGGUAACGUCGCAGAACGUACAUGGUACAAGUUGUGUUGACUGCAUGGAAAAGGGAAUAAUGUAUUACAAAUUAUAUGGUAAGAACCUGGUAAUACCAUGGAAACAAACGAGGCUUCCUUUUACAGUACAGUUUCAGCUUAAUUACUGGGUAAAUUGUCGUGUUUUACUUGGUAAUGUCGCAGAACGUACAUGGUACAAGUUUGUGUUGAUUGCAUGGAAAAGGGAAUAAUGUAUUACAAAUUAUAUGGUAAGAACCUGGUAAUACCAUGGAAACAAACAAGGCUUCCUUUUACAGUACAGUUUCAGCUUAAUUACUGGGUAAAUUGUCGUGUUUUACUUGGUAAUGUCGCAGAACGUACAUGGUACAAGUUUGUGUUGAUUGCAUGGAAAAGGGAAUAAUGUAUUACAAAUUAUAUGGUUAAGAACUGGUAAUACCAUGGAAACAAACAAGGCUUCCUUUUACAGUACAGUUUCAGCUUAAUUACUGGGUAAAUUGUCGUGUUUUACUUGGUAACGUCGCAGAACGUACAUGGUACAAGUUUGUGUUGACUGCAUGGAUAAUGGAAUGUAUCUAUUAUGAAUUAUAUGGUAAGAACCUGGUUAUACCAUGGAAACAAACGGCUUCGUACCCAGUAUUUAAGAGAUGUACCAUGACACUAGUAGGAAAACAGAUUCCUGCAGAGGUUGUUACCAGGUAAGUAAUUCCAUAGUGGUAAAUCGAAUAAACCCUUUCUAAAUGGGUGUAGCUAUGAAUAAUAACUAAGAAAAAGUAUUUUAUUUUAAAGUACUAUGCUAAUUUCUAGAUAGUACAUCAUUAAAUUUGGGCUGUUACAACAUUAACCUUGGAUUAAUGGGUGUUUCUAAGAAUUGGUUGCCUAAUUUCCCUAGGAAGUACACAAUAUCGGAGUUAUUACCAACCUAAAACAGUUACAACUACACGCUACUUAGUUGAGUUGAUGGGUAAUAGUGAAGGUUUUACUUGGUACAUCAGCUGUAAUUCCUCUGUAUUUACCCUCUUAUUACCAGUGGUAAUUACACAGUAAUACACUAUAAUUUACCGGAUAAUUCCUCUGUAUUUACCUUCUUAUUACCAGUGGUAAUUACCCAGUAAUACACUAUGAUUUACCAUGUAUUUACCGGGUAACUACCUCUGUAUUUACCUUCUUAUUACCAGUGGUAAUUACCCAGUAAUACACUAUAAUUUACCAUGUAUGUACCGGGUAAAUACCUAGUAAUAAGGGGACUGUAAAAGGAAGGGUUACCCAUAUUUGUGUAACAGAGUCAAUUAUACAGCAGUAAAAUUGUGUAACAGAGUCAAAUAUACAACAGUAAUAUGGAUUAUUAUAAUUCCACAAAAUCUGAUUCAAUAAUUAUAACCUGACAUGUCCGGCCUCCUGAGUCAAUAUGUGGAACGUUUGAGACUUAGUUUCUUUACCCCAACGUUCACUUUCGUGGGUCCCCCCUAUAAAUCUGCUUCACGCUUUGGCCUCUCGCCUUUUGAUGUUGAACUCGGGAGAGGUGAGCGACACUGUGGUCACAGAAAUGUCCAUGUUUUAGCCUAGCUUAAACUUAUUGUGUAGUACGCUAACAUAUUUCUGUAAUUGAAUUUGUGUUGGGGCUCACGCUAAGAGUUGACCGGAGGAUAUUGUUAUUUACACCUUUGUCAGCUAUGUUUUCUUUUUUUAAUGAAUUGAAUGCAACAUCCCCUUUUGAUGUUGUACUCCUUGGGAGAGGAGCUCACGUUAAUAAGAGUUGACCGUAGGAUAUUGUUGUUAUUUAAACCUUUGUCAGAAUAAACAGAGAUCGCCUCCAAAGAUAUCCUGGUCUGGGCCUCUUCCAAACACAACGCAGAAAAUGCCAGAAACUCACCGGUUACAUUUGAUCACAAUAAGGAAAAGCUUUAAUCAUUUUAUGACAAACCAUUCUACAACAUGUGAUUACCCUUUGUACUGUGCUUCCACGCUGUUUGGAUUGGAGUCAAGUUAAUUCAUAACUACUGAAAAUGAC
ensembl:lncRNA